rnacentral:rRNA from 1 species
UACGUAGGGGGCUAGCGUUGUCCGGAAUCAUUGGGCGUAAAGCGCGCGUAGGCGGCCCGGUAAGUCCGCUGUGAAAGUCAAAGGCUCAACCUUUGAAUGUCAGCGGAUACUGCCGGGCUAGAGUCCGGAAGAGGCGAGUGGAAUUCCUGGUGUAGCGGUGGAAUGCGCAGAUAUCAGGAGGAACACCAACGGCGAAGGCAGCUCGCUGGGACGGUACUGACGUUGAGGCGCGAAAGCGUGGGGAGCGAACAGG